GAUGAACGCUGGCGGCGUGCCUAAUACAUGCAAGUCGAGCGAACGGACGAGAAGCUUGCUUCUCUGAUGUUAGCGGCGGACGGGUGAGUAACACGUGGAUAACCUACCUAUAAGACUGGGAUAACUUCGGGAAACCGGAGCUAAUACCGGAUAAUAUUUUGAACCGCAUGGUUCAAAAGUGAAAGACGGUCUUGCUGUCACUUAUAGAUGGAUCCGCGCUGCAUUAGCUAGUUGGUAAGGUAACGGCUUACCAAGGCAACGAUGCAUAGCCGACCUGGUAGGGUGAUCGGCCACACUGGAACUGAGACACGGUCCAGACUCCUACGGGAGGCAGCAGUAGGGAAUCUUCCGCAAUGGGCGAAAGCCUGACGGAGCAACGCCGCGUGAGUGAUGAAGGUCUUCGGAUCGUAAAACUCUGCUAUUAGGGAAGAACAGAUGUGUAAGUAACUGUGCACAUCUUGACGGUACCUAAUCAGAAAGCCACGGCUAACUACGUG
rnacentral:rRNA from 1 species